rnacentral:rRNA from 1 species
UACGUAGGCAGCGAGCGUUGUUCGGAAUUACUGGGCGUAAAGAGUGUGUAGGCGGUGCUCUAAGUUCGGUGUGAAAUCUCCUGGCUCAACUGGGAGGGUGCGCCGGAAACUGGAGUGCUUGAGCGUGGGAGGGGAAAGCGGAAUUCCUGGUGUAGCGGUGAAAUGCGUAGAUAUCAUGAGGAACACCUGUGGUGUAGACGGCUUUCUGGACCAUAGCUGACGCUGAGACACGAAAGCGUGGGUAGCAAACAGG